AAAAGGUACUCCGGGGAUAACAGGCUGAUACCGCCCAAGAGUUCAUAUCGACGGCGGUGUUUGGCACCUCGAUGUCGGCUCAUCACAUCCUGGGGCUGAAGUCGGUCCCAAGGGUAUGGCUGUUCGCCAUUUAAAGUGGUACGCGAGCUGGGUUUAGAACGUCGUGAGACAGUUCGGUCCCUAUCUGCCGUGGGCGUUGGAAGAUUGAAGGGGGCUGCUCCUAGUACGAGAGGACCGGAGUGGACGAACCUCUGGUGUUCGGGUUGUGUCGCCAGACGCAUUGCCCGGUAGCUAAGUUCGGAAUUGAUAAGCGCUGAAAGCAUCUAAGCGCGAAGCGAGCCCUGAGAUGAGUCUUCCCUGAUACUUUAAGUAUCCUAAAGGGUUGUUCGAGACUAGAACGUUGAUAGGCAGGGUGUGUAAGCGUUGUGAGGCGUUGAGCUAACCUGUACUAAUUGCCCGUGAGGCUUAACCAUACAACACCCAAGGGGUU
rnacentral:rRNA from 1 species